UACAUGCAGUCGUAACAGGUAANNANAUUGAAAGGUGCUUGCAUCUUGAUUUAAUUUUGAACGAGUGGCGGACGGGUGAGUAACACGUGGGUAACCUGCCCUUAAGUGGGGGAUAACAUUUGGAAACAGAUGCUAAUACCGCAUAAAUCCAAGAACCGCAGGGUUCUUGGCUGAAAGAUGGCGUAAGCUAUCGCUUUUGGAUGGACCCGCGGCGUAUUAGCUAGUUGGUGAGGUAACGGCUCACCAAGGCAAUGAUACGUAGCCGAACUGAGAGGUUGAUCGGCCACAUUGGGACUGAGACACGGCCCAAACUCCUACGGGAGGCAGCAGUAGGGAAUCUUCCACAAUGGACGCAAGUCUGAUGGAGCAACGCCGCGUGAGUGAAGAAGGCUUUCGGGUCGUAAAACUCUGUUGUUGGAGAAGAAUGGUCGGCAGAGUAACUGUUGUCGGCGUGACGGUAUCCAACCAGAAAGCCACGGCUAACUACGUGCCAGCAGCCGCGGUAAUACGUAGGUGGCAAGCGUUAUCCGGAUUUAUUGGGCGUAAAGCGAGCGCAGGCGGUUUUUUAAGUCUGAUGUGAAAGCCCUCGGCUUAACCGAGGAAGUGCAUCGGAAACUGGAAAACUUGAGUGCAGAAGAGGACAGUGGAACUCCAUGUGUAGCGGUGAAAUGCGUAGAUAUAUGGAAGAACACCAGUGGCGAAGGCGGCUGUCUGGUCUGUAACUGACGCUGAGGCUCGAAAGCAUGGGUAGCGAACAGGAUUAGAUACCCUGGUAGUCCAUGCCGUAAACGAUGAAUGCUAGGUGUUGGAGGGUUUCCGCCCUUCAGUGCCGCAGCUAACGCAUUAAGCAUUCCGCCUGGGGAGUACGACCGCAAGGUUGAAACUCAAAGGAAUUGACGGGGGCCCGCACAAGCGGUGGAGCAUGUGGUUUAAUUCGAAGCAACGCGAAGAACCUUACCAGGUCUUGACAUCUUUUGAUCACCUGAGAGAUCAGGUUUCCCCUUCGGGGGCAAAAUGACAGGUGGUGCAUGGUUGUCGUCACCUCCUGUCUUGAGAUGUUGGGUUAAGUCCCCCAACGAGCGCCACCCUUAUGACUAGUUGCCGCCUUUAGUUGGGCCCNCUAUUANNACUGCCGGUGACAAACCGGAGGAAGGGGGGGAUGACUCAAAUCACNUGCCCCUUAUNGACCGGGGCUCACNANCGNNNCACAAGGNGGGAAANNAGUUUNAAACCCGAGGGAAAAC
rnacentral:rRNA from 1 species